CUUGUUGUGAAUAGGAAGGUUACUGGAGACAGGAGACAUUCCUGAUGCUUCCAAGGGAAGCCAAAUGGUCAAGAAACACCUGGACACAUCCUAGCGCAAUGGCAUUAGCAGAAUUAUGAAUCUGCUCUCAAGUUCUUCCACAAGUGACCCCUAUGGGAACUCGGCUGACUCUUAACAUUAGAUAGAUAAAAAGUCAAUUUUGACCAGCUUGGUCUUAAACAUCUAUGAAAAAAGAGUUAAGCCAGAACACAGUCAUUCCUGGGAGUAAUGAAGGACAAGAACAGCUAGAAAAAAGGAGAUAAUAACUAGGCCAAUAGGCUCUAUGGGGAAUGUUCAGUCAAGUGUGGCCUUGGUUCCAGUCCCUCACAGGACUCUAUUAGUCAAAUUUAUAUUUCUCCUAAUAAACAUGACCUUUAAAUUACCUACAGAAGUUCCUGCAAGAUCAGACAUAAAUUCACCAACCUCCCGGUAAUCAACUACUUCUUUAAGAAUACCAGCCCAGAUGCCCAAGACAGAGACCUAUGACUCAUGACCAACUCCUCUGGAUCCAGACACUCUGUGCCCAUCUAAAACCCUCUAUAUUGCCUUUUCAAGUUUUUACCACCUCUUUCACUUCCUAGGAAUGAGAACUACUCUCCAGCAUGUUCACUCUGCUUGUUCUGUCUGUUCUACAGUAUCCCUCAAGGAAGUAUCAAACCUAAACUCCCCACACAUCAGAUGAGGAGCUACCAGCCAGACAGACUGGUAGAUCAACUUCACUCACAUGCCUAGGUACAAAAAGCUUUACUACCUACUUACUUUGGUUGAUAAUUUUACAGGUUGGGUACAAUCCUUCCCUACAUCUAGGGAAAUUGCUGACACCAUUGUCUCCAUCCUCAUUGAGGAGAUCAUUCCCAGGUUUGGACUUCCCAACACCAUCCAGUCAGACAAUGGUCCAGCCUUCACUUCUCAGAUUUUUCAACCAGUCUCCAAAGGCCUCAACAUCACUUGGAGGCUCCACAUCCCCCACCAACCCCUAUUCUCAUUUUCUAUUCCAACCACAGAUGGCAUUUUAACUUCCAAGAAACUUGGCACCAGAUAACAUCACCCACUCUCAAUUUAUGGGUCAAGGCGAUUGCUUUUCACUGGCUAAAAUUGGGCAAACACCCUUAACAUUACUAAAUUCAACCAAGCCACCUCAGAUAAUUCCUAGAGUCCCUACGACAGGACUAAUGGCUGAUACCAAGGAUCUCCUCCACUCAGAAAUGAUUCGAUGCCAUUGACAACCUAUGGCUUCAAGGAAACUUUAUGGACUUUGCCCUUCUGAGAUAACUGUCUAUAGCCACUGGAUGUUAUCUCUAGCUGCCCUGAUAUACCCAAACCUGUUCAUGAACAUUCCACAGCUCUCCCAAGUAGGCCCCAUUUCAGACCCUCUUAGCAGAAAGUAGCCAAACAAUUUUGUGCCAGCCCCCACCCCAUAAUUUAGAAAAACAAAAUGGGAGAAAUUUUAGGUGCAGAACAGCCUGAACUAUGUUCUGCAGGAUAACCCAUGCACUCAAAUACCUUUCUGUCUGGUCUUUUAUCGCCUAUUUGCAUCAAGACUGAAUACUCAACCGCACUCAAGGCUGAACACUUGACCCCCACCUGUCUGGUGCAACAGAAACCCACAUCUUACCCCUGCCCCAUCUUCCUGAAGGCAGAAGAUGACACCCUUAGCAACUAUUGUGCGGUCCAAUCAUUUUCUACCUACAAGGCAGUUUACAGACUCAGAGACCCCAUUAGAAUUUGGCUAUAAAAACUCCCUUGUGCCGGGUCCCCCUAUCUUGCUCUCUCUGUCUCCCUCUCUUGCUUUCACUCUACCUUGCUCUCUCUUUCUUCUCUCUCUCUCUCUCUCUCUCUCUCUCUCUCUCUCUUUCUCUUCUUUGUCAUGGCUGCAAUAAAGCAGUGGUCACUG
rnacentral:lncRNA from 1 species